GUCUUGCAUUGUGAUGGCGUCUGAGUGUUGGCUUGGUCUCUGUUGGCUUGCUACAUAUCUAGAAAGCUCCAUGAUUUGUGCUAAGCUGAAGCGUAUCCAAUUUAGAUUUUCCAGCUUAAAAUAUCAGUAGAUUUGUUGUGGUAGUGCCUUAACAAGAUUUGAGGCUUCUCCAUUCAGGAAAAGACAAGUCUGGUAGAUACAAAAAUUACAAGAUCGCAAGUUUGGAUUGAAGGUCACAAGAAAAAAAAAUGGGGAGCCUAGUACUCAAGCUGUUGGAGAGAAAAUAGUGGACCUAAUUCGACCAAAUGAUGAAAUGCA